AGGACGGACAUACAAUGUGUUCAGAAAGUAUUCAGACCCCUUGACUUUUUCCACAUUUUGUUACGUUACAGCCUUUAUUCUAAAACGGAUUCAAUGUUUUUUUCCCUCAUCAAUCUACACACAAUAACCCAUAAUGACAAAGCAAAAACUGGUAUAUAGAAAUGGUAGUUUUCACUUUGUCAUUAUGGGGUAUUGUGAUGUCAUUAUGGGGUAUUGUGAUGUCAUUAUGGGGUAUUGUGAUGUCAUUAUGGGGUAUUGUGAUGUCAUUAUGGGGUAUUGUGUGUAGAUUGAUGAGGAAAACAAUUCAUUGAAUCAAAUUUAAAUUAAGACGAAUGGAACAAUGUGGAAAAAGUCAAGGGGUCUGAAUACUUUCUGAACGCUCUCUAUAUAAUAUUAACCUCAGAAACAAUUGGGGCGGCAGUUAGCCUAGUAGUUAGAGGAGGCAGGUAGCCUAGUGGUUAGAGGGAGGUAGCCUAGUGGUUAGAGGAGGCAGGUAGCCUAGUGGUUAGAGGGAGGUAGCCUAGUGGUUAGAGGAGGCAGGUAGCCUAGUGGUUAGAGGAGGCAGGUAGCCUAGUGGUUAGAGGAGGCAGGUAGCCUAGUGGUUAGAGGAGGCAGGUAGCCUAGUGGUUAGAGGAGGCAGGUAGCCUAGUGGUUAGAGGAGGCAGGUAGCCUUGUGGUUAGAGGAGGCAGGUAGCCUAGUGGUUAGAGGAGGCAGGUAGCCUAGUGGUUAGAGGAGGCAGGUAGCCUAGUGGUUAGAGGCAGGUAGCCUAGUGGUUAGAGGAGGCAGGUAGCCUAGUGGUUAGAGGAGGCAGGUAGCCUAGUGGUUAGAGGAGGCAGGUAGCCUAGUGGUUAGAGGAGGCAGGUAGCCUAGUGGUUAGAGGAGGCAGGUAGCCUAGUGGUUAGAGGAGGCAGGUAGCCUAGUGGUUAGAGGCAGGUAGCCUAGUGGUUAGAGGAGGCAGGUAGCCUAGUGGUUAGAGCGUUGGGCCAGUAACCUAAAGGUUGCUACAUGGAAUCCCCCGAGCUGACAACGUAAAAAUCUGUCGUUCUGCCCCUGAACAAGGCAGUUUAUCCACUGUUCCUAGACCAGUUAACCCACUGUUCCUAGACCAGCUAACCCAGUGUUCCUAGACCAGUUAUCCCACUGUUCCUAGACCAGUUAUCCCACUGUUCCUA